GCGCUCGCUUGGGCAGCACAUGUCCUAAAAUUGGAACGAUACAGAGAAGAUUAGCAUGGCCCCUGUGCAAGGAUGACACUCAAGCUCCACACUUUG
ensembl:snRNA Gm23792 predicted gene, 23792